AAGGAUUUAAGUUAAAUAAACUAUUAACCUUCAAAGUUAAAAAUAGAGUUGUCUAAGCCUUA
rnacentral:tRNA from 2 species